rnacentral:rRNA from 1 species
AGUAAUAGAUAGGAACGUGUCCGGGAGUGGGGGAUAACUAGCCGAAAGGUUAGCUAAUACCGCAUAUUCUCUACGGAGGAAAGCAGGGAACCGCAAGGUCCUUGCGCUCGCGGAGUGGCCUAUCUCCGAUUAGCUAGUUGGUGAGGUAAAGGCUUACCAAGGCGACGAUCGGUAGCUGGUCUGAGAGGAUGAUCAGCCACACUGGGACUGAGACACGGCCCAG